UAACAAAUCAUUCAAAUUUGG
rnacentral:piRNA from 1 species